CACGUAGGCGGCUCAGCAAAUCAGUCGUGGAAUCCCGACGCUUACCGUCGGAACGGCGGCUGAAAAUACUGGGCUUGAGGGCGUGAGGGGUCACUGGAACUCCCGGUGAAGCGGUGAAAUGCGUAGAUAUCGGGAGGAACGCCGGAGGCGAAAGCGAGUGACUGGCGCGUUCCUGACGCUGAGGUGCGAAAGCUAGGGGAGCAAACG
rnacentral:rRNA from 1 species